ensembl:lncRNA novel transcript
UACUGGGAAGAGGAAAGUCUCCUUUGGAUUCUGGACAUCGGGCUGUUGCUGAAGUCCUUGCCUUUUAGAUCUACAACAGGUCCCUGAAGGAAGAAUUUAACCACUUUGAAGACUGGCUGAAUGUGUUUCCUCUGUACCGAGGGCAAGGGGGCCAGGAUGGAGGUGGAGAAGAGGAAGGAUCUGGACACCUUGUGGGCAAGUUCAAGGGCUCCUUCCUCAUUUACCCUGAAUCAGAGGCAGUGUUGUUCUCUGAGCCCCAG